UGGAUAUCAGUAAACCGGCUCUUAUCAGAACCAAAUGCCAUAGACUGAUCUUGCAAGUCACAUUCACCACCCUGGUCACAGAUAGGGCAGUCCAAAGGAUGAUUAACAAGCAUAGCGCAAGCUGCAACAGGCUUGGGUGACUUCUCUACUUCUACCAAGCACAUCCUACAGUUGCCAGCCACUGCUAAUCUUUCAUGGCUGGGCUUGAACUUGGUCGGCAAAUUUGCGAGCCGCUAGCGGUGCGACUCGGCUGGGAGAUAGCGCAAGCGCCCGGGACAGCGGCUGGCGUAGCAUUUUCUGCAGCAACCAAAAACUAACAAUUAAACAAUAUCACUUUGUAUGUAUCUUAUACUAGAGAUUUUAACAAAAAUUAAACAACU